CUCGCUUCUGUUCAGCAGCGUAUCUCCGAGUGUCGACUGUGUUCGUCAAACGCGCAACAGGCCCCGUCUUCCUUUGGUAUCCCAGACAACACCUUUCCAGGUCUUUUUCGCGAGAAUAGAAAGCCCCAGCGGAUACUUAUUUCUUUCUUUCUUGAUACACGUGUUGCAGCGCCAGAGGGAUAGACCCCCUUGUCUACCUGCGUGUGGCCCUCACCAGAGAUCUGCGAUUUCUCACGGAAGUCGACACCUGAUGUGGGUUUUCCCUUGGUUUCGUUCUCCGACAGAAGUCGCAUCUUUACGGCAACAGCGACAGGUGGUCAAGCGUGUCCCCGCCCUUCCAUUUUCGUCGAAAUUUGAAAGAGAGACUCGUUCGAAUUCUCUCAGAGGCGUACGGAGAGUUGUCCCUGGCUCUUGUUUUUCUUUCGAUAACUCGUUCAGAUCCCUUCCCAGCGACGCUCGUGUCCUCCUCGAUACCUCGCUGCUUGCGAGAUCUCUGCGAGCUCCGUUUCACAUCGCCGGUUUGAAACCGGAAAACUCAUCGGAAAAGUCUAAGCUUUCCUGCCGAGACCUUCUCGAGCCGCCUGACUUCGCUUCUCUGCCAUGCGCUGUUCCCCGGAUUUGACUCCCAAAGAGAGCUGGAACUGCGUGUUCUCGGAGCGUCCCUGCUUCGAGCCUAAACAACAGACCUAAACAAGGUCUCAAAAAAGGCCUCGAAAAAGCCCUCAAAAAAGGCCUCGAAAAAAGGGACUCUUUUUCUCCGGGGCGGGUAUGCACCUUUGCGUCUUUUUUUCUCGCGGGAAGGGAGAGACCCACAGAGAUAUGUGGGGCGGGAGACGUCUCGUUUUUUUGACUUCAUGGCGAGCGGACGGAAAGGAACGCUCAGCCUCUCUCCAGAAAACGCCGAGUUUUUCGCGGGGGCGUGAAAGUUUCGGCUGUGUCAGUCGCCGCAUGCCUCGCCAAAGCGCUGCGUGAGUCACCAAAGUGAUCGUCCCCAAUCCCUCUCUUACAGGCUUGGAACACUUCGUUCUAACUAUAGGACGCCACGCAGAGACCCGGUUAAGCGUAGAAAUCCUACGGAUUGGCACAGGAAAUGUUUGCCGGAUGUCUGUAGGGAGAAACGCACAGAGGCCGAUCUGUGUGAAACAAACUGCGUUGGCGGCGCUGCUGAUCAACUGCGUUCUGUUCCUGGCAGAUCGCGUUCAAAUGGAGCACUCCUUGCUUUCUAUUUAUCUGC
rnacentral:lncRNA from 1 species